rnacentral:sRNA from 1 species
ACCAUCGCCGCCGCAGAAGCCUUCAGUGUUCGAUCCUUCGUUUCUCUUUUCGUUUUUGCUCGUCUCGUCUGUGUUCGAUUCGUUUGUUUUUGGAUUUGUGGUGAAUCUGGUGAUUGUGUUCGUGCUUCGUCAUCUGGUCAUUGGGAGGAUUAGUCUCUAAUCGGUUCCCAAUCGACUCGUUCCCUUGAAGCAAAAUCGCCCUGUUGUAUCCUGAGCUCGCCUUCCAAUCGUGCCCUCGGAUGCGUCUCGCCGCAGGGCACUCGGCGGCUGUUACAUACAUCCGAACACCCCUCGAAACAAUAGUCGCCAUAAAAUCAAUUUUUUGUUGUUGUUCUUUAUGUAGAUCUUCGUUACAAUUUGAUUCGAUCUGUUGGUCGCUAGCAACGGUGAUGAGUCCUACAGACCUGUAAUGACUCCUGCGGAGAUGAUCGCAUGGUCAAAGAACAUCUAAGGGACUGAGUUGUCGCUCAUGAUCAACCAAUAGGAUUUUUAGCUUCGGUUCGAUUUACUUUUGCGUCGUCGAUUUUUGCCAGUUUGUGUCUCGGCUUCUCUCAG